CUCAGUUUGUUCCCAAUUUCAUCCAGAAAGCCUUUCUUCCUUUGAUGGCUUCCCAUAGAUUUGUGUCUGUUUCCCACCGACUGCAAGAGGCCGUGAAGGGCAACAGAUGUGUCGCUGCUGCUUAGUGACGGCCUCGCCGGCGGGCAUGAAUAGUCACUGUCGGUCAAUCUGUCUUCAUCUGGUAUGCUUUCAUCUCCGUUAUUUUUGUUCUAUCUCAAAGCGACAGCAUCAUUUUUACCCUCUUCCAACAAGGUUUUUCUCCCUUUUUUCUCUUUUUGACUUCGACUCUUUCAGUGCGCCUCUUUGAUGUUCGACCGCCUUCAUCUCAAUUUGUGUUUUAAUCUCUAUCUUUGUUCGUCUCUGAUAUACCGCUCUCUAAUUUCUUUCCACCUACGUGUUGUUAUCUAGGGUUUGAUGAUGAUGUGAAUGAUCACUUCAUCGACCUAACACUGCUCCGGCGAGGAGAAAGCCUCCGGCAAAAGCCCCUGUUAAGGUAUUACCGGAAAUGAUGAACCCGAUCCAGGUAGGUUUGAGCCCUAAUUUUUUCUAAUUUGUGCUUUGUUGUUUUUAAUUGUGGGAUUAAUCCCUCACUGGGUUGCGGUCCUGCCCUAGAAAAUCAUUUCCAGCUGGGUGUACGCUAUCCGGUUCUACUCGGUGCGAUCACAUACAUUUAUGCUCUGAGGUGGCUAUUUGUUUCUCUUUGACAGCAAGGUCCUGAGGUUUUUUUUUUUUUUUUUGUAAAGAUGGUCAUAGUUGGAGGAGAAAGAAAGACAGAAAAGCCCUUGGAGAGGCACAUGAUGAUGUAAAAGUUUUACGUCUUCUCAUGUUCCUUUUUUAUUACUUUGGAUAUUCUUGCUUAUGUUAAAAUCCUUUUGUGUAGGUUAGAAUUGUUACUAUGUGAACAUAAUCACAUCAGUUUUUUGAGUUCAGUAACAUAAGAAGGAAGUUAUUUGUCAUCAUUAUGAGCAAUGGUGCAAACAGAGCUUUCAUGCUUUAAAAAACUGCCUCUAGAUUCAUUUAAUUUGUGAAUCACAUGCAAAAAUUAGAGUUAUUUUUAUUGCUCUUCUCUUUGCUCAUAAACACCCUGUAUAGCUAAUUUCGCAGUUAUGUUGAGACCAUAGAACUUUGAUUCAGGUUCUUAACUUAUUUAUCCUCUCUAACCUCUCACUCAUUAACAAUGUUAUGUAAUUUGACUAAUUAGAAAUCAUAAUUAAAAGGGUGAAGCUAAAUUAUUGCAAAAGAUUGAGAGGGAGCUGUUGCUAACCCAUUUGAUGUUUUCACACUCAAGAAUUAUCUCUUAAAACAAUUUCUUACCAUAGCUUUAAUUCAUAAAUUGAUCAUUCUGUUAUGUGAUACUACUUGAUCAGGCAACUCCAAUAUUGGCAUCCACGUCAACAGAGACCAGGUUCACAUAUAUUUUAGUCAGGAAGCCAUCAAGUUCAUCUGAUUCUGGUAUUGGUGUUAUAAUCAUUUAUAAAUCCACUUAACAAUGAAAAUCUUUACAGUUAACAUCAUAAAACAAUAAACUAUAUUGACCUUCUUUGUUGUGCUUGAAAUAGAAUAAAAAACUUCCAUUAAUGGUGCUAGAUCCUGCAACGUUUUUUACAUGGUGGAUUAUGUUUCCCGGGUGUGUGAUCAAUCUAAAAUGUAUCAGCUUUUGAAGAUUAACGAAAAGGAUUUGUUGUUAACAAUGUUUGCUUUUCCAUCUUUUCUUUUAUCUAAUUUAAAAAUAAAUUACAAAAGUUUUCCUUUUUUGUAAUGUUUUUGGUCAUCUUCCAAGUAAAAUGCCUACAUUACCUUUUUUUUUUUUUUUUUGUUUAUACAUCAAAGGGUAACAUUGUCAAUUGCUUAAAACAUGACAAAAGCACCACAAAUAUCUCAAAUAAGCUACUCAAAUAUCUUGAACCAAAUUAUUAAAUUGUUGGUCUUCUACACGAAAAGCAGAUGGACCUGCAGAAAAUAAAUACAAAUAACUCUUCUGUUUUUCUUAUUAAGCCAUUAUAUUUUAAAAAUCUACCAAAUAUAGCAUUAUACUUUCGAAUUUUGCAAAUAAUCUUGAUUAAGCCAGCCAAUUUUCUUUUGUAUUUAAAUGACCUAUUUGGGUAGAUUAUUGUGUUUCAGGGGUUCCAAGUUCCUCCACUUUGGAAUCAAGGUUUCAUUAUACAUAUAAUUCCUUGGAUAAUAAACCUUAUGGGCUCAUAAUUUUUAUGAUAUUCAACUACUCUUUUGAUGUUAGUAUGU